rnacentral:misc_RNA from 1 species
CGGGUUCUGCCCCUCUCGUGCAGUGGUCUUUUUCCAGUGGCCGAUAAGCAUCUCCGAGGGAGCUGGCUCUGCCAGGGUCGUGGCCCUGGUAUCUGGCGACCACCUGACACUCAGGCUCUCGGGAAACUCACACCACCACGGCUGCCGCGGAUCCCGC